GAGGAGCUCCUGUGGGCCCUUCCUCCAGCUGUAGCCAAGUAGCUUUGAUUUCUGAUGGUUCUGAGCCAUCACUGAAGGGUGGAGAGCUCAUUUCUGCUUUAAUUUGAGCCAGGUUUGAUGGCAAUGGAAGCUGCACACGUUUAAACAUAGCAUUGCUUAUAUAGCGGGGAGGCUGAGUCUGAGUUUACUGGGUGCCUUGGGCUUUCUGCAGUGUGGGGAGGCACCCUCCUCAGGAGGGUCUGCAGGGGCUUGGUGUGUUUGGGCUUGUUUCAGACAUGGCAGAAAGUCAGGACUCCCUGCAGAAUGCAGUGGUGAUCUCAUAGGCUGUGGAGAUGCUCUGGAUCCAGCUACAUCAGACCUCAGCUGCCAGGAUUAGUUCUGAGCAAGAGAGAGACCAGAGGCAUGAAAGUAAGAAACACUGCUUUCAUCCUGCCUUGCUGCUCAGGUGGCUCUGGCACUUCUGGUGA